rnacentral:rRNA from 1 species
CCUACGGGAGGCAGCAGUAGGGAAUUUUCCGCAAUGGGCGAAAGCCUGACGGAGCAAUACCGCGUGAGGGAAGAAUGCCUACGGGUUGUAAACCUCUUUUUUCAGGGAGGAACAUAAUGACGUGUACCUGAAGAAUAAGCAUCGGCUAACUCCGUGCCAGCAGCCGCGGUAAGACGGAGGAUGCAAGUGUUAUCCGGAAUCACUGGGCGUAAAGCGUCUGUAGGUGGUUUAAUAAGUCAACUGUUAAAUCUUGAGGCUCAACCUCAAAAUCGCAGUCGAAACUAUUAGACUAGAGUAUAGUAGGGGUAAAGGGAAUUUCCAGUGGAGCGGUGAAAUGCGUAGAGAUUGGAAAGAACACCGAUGGCGAAAGCACUUUACUAGGCUAUUACUGACACUCAGAGACGAAAGCUAGGGUAGCAAAUGGGAUUAGAUACCCCAGUAGUCCUAGCUGUAAACUAUGGAUACUAGAUGUUGAACAGAUCGACCUGUGCAGUAUCAAAGCUAACGCGUUAAGUAUCCCGCCUGGGAAGUAUGCUCGCAAGGGUGAAACUUAAAUGAAUUGACGGCUGAGAGNGCGACGACGACGACGAGGAGAG